UUGGACUAGCUUGCAUUUUAUUCACCUAUUGUCCCUAUUUACUGCUUAAACGCCCGGGAAAUAUCUGAAAUAAAACCAUCACAUGUACAUAUUUAUAUUGAGUAUAAUGAUACUGUACAUAUAGAUUGCUUGGGCCGACUGCUAUAGACUAGUUGAGCCCAUGCAUGAUACGGGACAACAAGGACAAGAAGUCUAUAUACUUGACUUGGAAAGAUGAUAUUGGAAUCAAC